rnacentral:lncRNA from 1 species
AUGUCCCCAAAAAAAUGUCCAAAAAAUCCCAAAAUAUUGCCAAAAAAAAAAUCUCAAAAAAUCCCAAAAUUACCAAAAAUAUCCAAAAAUGUCCCAAAAUGUCCCCAAAAAAAACCAAAAAUGUCCCCAAAAAAUCCCAAAAUGUCCCGAAAAAAUCUUCAAAAAUCCCCAAAAAUCCUUAAAAAAUCCCCAAAAACUCCCCAAAAAAACCCCAAAAAAUCUCCAAAAAAUCCCAAAAAAUCCCAAAAUGUCCCAAAAAAUCCCAAAUCUCCCCAAAAUGUCCCAAAAUGUCCCAAAUUUGCCCAAAUCUCCCAGAUCGGGACCUGGCCGGGGAUCCGUCGGCGCCGCGGCUGCGGGAACUGCUCCGGACAUUCUGCAUGUUCCACUUCGACCUCGGGUGAGAAUUUCGGGCCGGGCCCGGAGGGGCUGCGCAGGAAUUUGGGGCUUUUGGGGGCGCUGCUGGAGCAGCUGAACCCCGACCUCGUCCCGCUGCUGGCCCAGCGGUGGCCGCGCCGUUGCUGCUCUCGGUGGCUCCAGUUCCGUUUCCAGCGGCUGCUGGGACAGGAGGGGACAGAGCGGCUCUGGGAGGUACCGGGGACAGCGGGGACAGCGGGGACAUUGGUGGGGACAUCAAUGGGGACACUGGGGACAGCGGGGACAUUGGGGACAUUGGGGACAUCAAUGGGGACAUUGGGGACAUUAAUGGGGACAUGGGGACACUGGGGAGAUUGGGGACAUUGGGGACAUCGGGGACAUCGGGGGGAUUUGGGGACAUUGGAGACAUUGGGGGACAUUGGGGACAUUGGGGAUAUUGGGGACAUUUGGGAACAUUUUGGGGACAUUUUGGGAGGUUUUUGGGACAUUGGGGACAUUUGGGACAUUACGGGGACAUUGGGGAUAUUGGGGACAUUGGGGGCAUUGGGGACAUUUGGGACACUUUGGGGACAUUUUGGGACAUUUUGGGAGAUUUGGGGACAUUUUGGGGCAUUGGGGACAUUGGGGACAUUUUGGGGAAUUUGGGACAUUGGGACAUCAAUGGGGACAUUUUGGGGUGUCUUUGGGGUGGUUUUGAGGGGAUUUGGGGACAUUUGGGGACAAUUUGGGGACAAUUUGGGGGGAUUGGGGACAUUGGGGACAUUGGAGACAUUUGGGGACAUUUUGGGUGGGUUUGGGGACCUUUUGGGGACAUUUUGGGGACAAUUUUGGGACAUUUGGGGACAUUUGGGACAUUCAGGGCAGCUUUGA